GAUGAACGCUAGCUACAGGCUUAACACAUGCAAGUCGAGGGACCGGCGCACGGGUGAGUAACACGUAUCCAACCUGCCCUUUACUCGGGGAUAGCCUUUCGACAGAAAGAUUAAUACCCGAUAUAAAGGAUGGGGAUGCGUUCCAUUAGGUUGUUGGUGAGGUAACGGCUAACCAAGCCUUCGAUGGAUGGGGGUUCUGAGAGGAAGGGCCCCAAGAGUUGAGAUGAGACACGGGCCAAAAGCAGACGGAAGGCAGCAGAGAGGAAGAGUGGUGAAGGGGCGCUAGCCUGAGCCAGCCAAGUAGCGUGAAGGAUGAAGGAUUAUGGGUCGUAAACUUCUUUUAUAUAAGAAUAGGUAGUAUAUGAAUAAGGAUCGGCUAACUCCGUGCCAGCAGCCGCGGUAAUUC
rnacentral:rRNA from 1 species